rnacentral:rRNA from 1 species
CACGUAGUUAGCCGUGGCUUUCUGAUUAGGUACCGUCAAGAUGUGCACAGUUACUUACACAUUUGUUCUUCCCUAAUAACAGAGUUUUACGAGCCGAAACCCUCAUCACUCACGCGGCGUUGCUCCGUCAGGCUUUCGCCCAUUGCGGAAGAUUCCCUACUGCUGCCUCCCGUAGGAGUCUGGACCGUGUCUCAGUUCCAGUGUGGCCGAUCACCCUCUCAGGUCGGCUACGUAUCGUCGCCUUGGUAAGCCGUUACCUUACCAACUAGCUAAUACGGCGCGGGUCCAUCUAUAAGUGAUAGCAAAACCAUCUUUCACUUUAGAACCAUGCGGUUCUAAAUGUUAUCCGGUAUUAGCUCCGGUUUCCCGAAGUUAUCCCAGUCUUAUAGGUAGGUUACCCACGUGUUACUCACCCGUCCGCCGCUAACUUCAAAGGAGCAAGCUCCUUAUCUGUUCGCUCGACUUGCAUGUAUUAGGCACGCCGCCAGCGUUCAUCCUGAGCCAGGAUCAAACUCU